CAGGUGAUAGAAAAUGGAGCGGAAAGAAAUUGGGUGUCAUCACUUUCCUUGAACUAGGGAGACUUUUUUAAAAAAAAAUCUGGUACAAAGAAUGUUAUCUUUUUAGUCCCUUUUCUCUAUCCCCACAUGUGGGUGGGUGGCCAGCCAACACUACCUCCUGUCUCGAACCCUCAACCGUUUGCCCAUGUAUGCUAGCCCUCUUUCCUCUUACUGAGAAACUCAGUGCAAAAAGACAGACUUGGCCGAAUAAAAAUUGAGCAAAUAAAAGGAGAAAUGAAUUAAUUUAACCAGAAAAUCUCUUUAGGAGAAUUCUGAAGUUUAGGUCACUUCAAAGAAGGCGGGAUUGGAAGAGAAGAGGACAGUUAAUAAUGUUGUUAGUCUACAUUAAUUGGAAGGAAAGCAAUCCCAGGAAGGUGACAUGUUUAAUUUAAACUAUUAAAAAACCUUUGGCUACUUAAGAAAAAAAAAAUCACCAGACAACAACACUCCUGUUGACUGCAGACGAAAUGCUUAUUUGGCAUUCUGUGCCUGGGUUAGCUCCAUAUAGUACAAGCUCUUUUCUUCCACUUGACCAUGCUGGCCACACAAGGCAAGCGCAGAAGCUGGAAGAGGACCUGGGUGGAGAAGGCCACACUAGGGUGUUCAAGGCUACCCAGUGCAGCUGGCAAUUGAAACGCCCUCGCUUGUACACAUUAACCGUGCAAUGUCUGUCUGUCAUGAUGGCAUCCUGGAUUAUCAGAUAUCUUCCCUCAGGGCCACCAGCAAAGCACCCCUCUUGCCACUUUCAACCACACCACUGCUUUUGACAAAGUUUGCCAUGACCCCCGCUGGCACAGUCCGCCCACCCCGGCACGGAUGUUUCUUCAAAAGAAUAAAUGAUUAAAAGCUACCCAACAGCUGUCCCUAUUGCGCACAGCGAGGGUGCAGCAUCAAGAGACCUCGUCCAGCGGAGAACAUCUGUGUGCAAGCACCCAUACGUGUUUAUGCGUGCUUUCUUGUAGUUGCCAUUUGAAAAGAAAGCAAGAAUCUUCAAAGAGUUAUUAACUACUUAAACCUGAGUAGGACUUAGUAGGAAAAAAAUGAGCCGAAAGAAUCAAGUUUACUUUUUGGAGAAGAUUGUAAACAGAGCCAAGUAACACCAUGGAGUGCAUUCUUUAGUUAGAAGAGUUUAGUUAAUUAAAAGUAACAUUCAUACAGCAAUGUUUUGUUUUUUUAAGUUGGUGAAAGUAUUACAAGAGAGAAGUCAUUUAUUUUCCAUGAUCUUCAACCUCUCAAAGGCUUCCAGAAGGUUUUUUUUAACAUGAAGUGGAGAGAUGGAGUCAUAAAACGGGGAAACUGAAAGGCAACUGUAGUGUUUUCCUUUUUAAAUGUCACCUUAGCCAUAUUCCUCUCAAAAUUCAUGUUACAGGAGCUAUUCUAUUCACCCCCCCCCAAUACAAAUGUCUUUGUUCAAAAGUAGGUGGGUUUGUCGAUAUUCCCUUUAAAAUUCUCUUCAUGAAAACCAAGAGCUAAAAUAUUUAUAUAUAAAUAAGAAACAUUAAAUCAAAAAAA